rnacentral:siRNA from 1 species
GAUUCGUUAGUAAUGCUCGUGACU